AGUGAACGCUGGCGGCAGGCCUAACACAUGCAAGUCGAACGGCAGCACAGGGGAGCUUGCUCUCUGGGUGGCGAGUGGCGGACGGGUGAGGAAUACAUCGGAAUCUACCUUGUCGUGGGGGAUAACGUAGGGAAACUUACGCUAAUACCGCAUACGACCUUCGGGUGAAAGCAGGGGACCUUCGGGCCUUGCGCGAUUAGAUGAGCCGAUGUCGGAUUAGCUAGUUGGCGGGGUAAAGGCCCACCAAGGCGACGAUCCGUAGCUGGUCUGAGAGGAUGAUCAGCCACACUGGAACUGAGACACGGUCCAGACUCCUACGGGAGGCAGCAGUGGGGAAUAUUGGACAAUGGGCGCAAGCCUGAUCCAGCCAUGCCGCGUGGGUGAAGAAGGCCUUCGGGUUGUAAAGCCCUUUUGUUGGGAAAGAAAAGCAGUCGGCCAAUACCCGAUUGUUCUGACGGUACCCAAAGAAUAAGCACCGGCUAACUUCGUGCCAGCAGCCGCCGUAAAAC
rnacentral:rRNA from 1 species